rnacentral:misc_RNA from 1 species
GAUGAAGAACGCAGCGAAAUGCGAUAAGUAAUGUGAAUUGCAGAAUUCAGUGAAUCAUCGAGUCUUUGAACGCACAUUGCGCCCCCUGGUAUUCCGGGGGGCAUGCCUGUCCGGGCGUCAUUGCUGCCCUCAAGCACGGCUUGUGUGUUGGGCCUCCGUCCUCCUCCCGGGGGACGGGCCCGAAAGGCAGCGGCGGCACCGCGUCCGGUCCUCGAGCGUAUGGGGCUUCGUCACCCGCUCUUGUAGGCCCGGCCGGCGCUUGCCGACACAUCAAUCUUUUUUCCAGGUUGACCUCGGAUCAGGUAGGGAUACCCGCUGAACUUAAGCAUAUCAAUAAGCGGAGGA